rnacentral:rRNA from 1 species
CCUACGGGAGGCAGCAGUGAGGAAUAUUGGUCAAUGGACGAGAGUCUGAACCAGCCAAGUAGCGUGAAGGAUGACUGCCCUAUGGGUUGUAAACUUCUUUUAUAUGGGAAUAAAAUGUUCCACGUGUGGGAGUGUGUAUGUAACAUAUGAAUAAGGCUCGGCUAACUCCGUGCCAGCAGCCGAGGUAAUACGGAGGAUCCGAGCGUUAUCCGGAUUUAGUGGGUUUAAAGGGAGCGUAGGUGGAUUUUUAAGUCAGUUGUUAAAGUUUGCGGCUCAACCGUAAAAUUGAAGUUGAAACUGGCAGUCUUGAGUACAGUAGAGGUGGGCGGAAUGCGUGGUGUAGCGGUGAAAUGCUUAGAUAUCACGAAGAACUCCGAUUGCGAAGGCAGCUCACUGGACUGCAACUGACACUGAGGCUCGAAAGUGUGGGUAUCAAACAGGAUUAGAUACCCCGGUAGUC